AUUGAACGCUGGCGGCAGGCCUAACACAUGCAAGUCGAGCGGCGCGUCGGACGGGUGAGUAAUGCCUAGGAAUCUGCCUGGUAGUGGGGGAUAACGUCCGGAAACGGGCGCUAUUCCCGCAUCCUAUCAGAUCGCCCUCGGUGGGAUUAGCUAGUUGGUGGGGUAAUGGACGAGAAAGGCGACGAUCCGUAACUGGUCUGAGAGGAUGAUCAGUCACACUGGAACUGAGACACGGUCCAGACUCCUACGGGAGGCAGCAGUGGGGAAUAUUGGACAAUGGGCGAAAGCCUGAUCCAGCCAGGCCGCGUGUGUGAAGAAGGUCUUCGGAUUGUAAAGCACUGUAAGUUGGGAGGCGUUACCAACAGAAUAAGCACCGGCUAACUUCGUGCCAGCAGCCGCGGUAAUUC
rnacentral:rRNA from 1 species